AGUUUGAUCCUGGCUCAGAUUGAACGCUGGCGGCAUGCUUUACACAUGCAAGUCGAACGGCAGCGGGUCCUUCGGGAUGCCGGCGAGUGGCGAACGGGUGAGUAAUGCAUCGGAACGUACCGUGUAAUGGGGGAUAACGUAGCGAAAGUUACGCUAAUACCGCAUACGCCCUGAGGGGGAAAGUGGGGGACCUUCGGGCCUCACACUAUACGAGCGGCCGAUGGCUGAUUAGCUAGUUGGUGGGGUAAAGGCCUACCAAGGCUUCGAUCAGUAGCGGGUCUGAGAGGACGAUCCGCCACACUGGGACUGAGACACGGCCCAGACUCCUACGGGAGGCAGCAGUGAGGAAUUUUGGACAAUGGGGGCAACCCUGAUCCAGCCAUGCCGCGUGUCUGAAGAAGGCCUUCGGGUUGUAAAGGACUUUUGUUGGGGAACAAGCUUAUCUUGUCUAAUAAACAAGAUAGCAUGAGUGUACCCAAAGAAUAAGCACCGGCUAACUACGUG
rnacentral:rRNA from 1 species